rnacentral:rRNA from 1 species
CGAGCGUUGUUCGGAAUCAUUGGGCGUAAAGGGCGCGUAGGUGGUUCUGUAUGUCUACCGUGAAAGCGUACGGCUCAACCGUAUUUUGUCGGUAGAAACUGCAGGACUUGAGGCUGGGAGGGGCUGGUGGAAUUCCCUGUGUAGCGGUGAAAUGCGUAGAGAUGGGGGAGAACACUCGUGGCGAAGGCGGCCAGCUAGACCAGUUCUGACACUGAGGCGCGACAGCGUAGGGAGCAAACAGG